CCUACGGGAGGCAGCAGUCGAGAAUCAUUCACAAUGGGGGAAACCCUGAUGGUGCGACGCCGCGUGGGGGAAUGAAGGUCUUCGGAUUGUAAACCCCUGUCAUGUGGGAGCAAAUUAAAAAGAUAGUACCACAAGAGGAAGAGACGGCUAACUCUGUGCCAGCAGCCGCGGUAAUACAGAGGUCUCAAGCGUUGUUCGGAAUCACUGGGCGUAAAGUGUGCGUAGGCUGUUUCGUAAGUCGUGUGUGAAAGGCGCGGGCUCAACCCGCGGACGGCACAUGAUACUGGGAGACUAGAGUAAUGGAGGGGGAACCGGAAUUCUCGGUGUAGCAGUGAAAUGCGUAGAUAUCGAGAGGAACACUCGUGGCGAAGGCGGGUUCCUGGACAUUAACUGACGCUGAGGCACGAAGGCCAGGGGAGCGAAAGGGAUUAGAUACCCUGGUAGUC
rnacentral:rRNA from 1 species